rnacentral:rRNA from 1 species
CAGCAGCCACGGUAACACGGAGGGAGCUAGCGUUAUUCGGAAUUGCUGGGCGUAAAGCGCACGUAGGCGGCUUUGUAAGUAAGAGGUGAAAGCCCGGAGCUCAACUCCGGAACUGCCUUUUAGACUGCAUCGCUUGAAUCCAGGAGAGGUGAGUGGAAUUCCGAGUGUAGAGGUGAAAUUCGUAGAUAUUCGGAAGAACACCAGUGGCGAAGGCGGCCCACUGGACGUGUAUUGACGCUGAGGUGCGAAAGCGUGGGGAGCAAACAGGAUUAGAUACCCCAGUAGUACCUGUCUCUUAUAC